rnacentral:rRNA from 1 species
GAUCAUGGCUCAGGAUGAACGCUAGCUACAGGCUUAACACAUGCAAGUCGAGGGGCAGCAUGGACUCAGCUUUGCUGGGUUUGAUGGCGACCGGCGCACGGGUGAGUAACGCGUAUCCAACCUGCCCUUUACUCCGGGAUAGUCUCCUGAAAGAGAGUUUAAUACCGGAUGUGUUUGUCUUUCCGCAGUGGGAGCGACAAAUAAAGAUUGAUUAGGUAAAGGAGUGGGGAUGCGUCCCUA